rnacentral:rRNA from 1 species
GUAUCCUUACCUGAAUACAUAGGGUAAGGAGGCGAACCGGGGGAACUGAAACAUCUAAGUACCCCGAGGAAAAGAAAUCAACCGAGAUUCCGAAAGUAGCGGCGAGCGAAAUUGGACUAGCCCUUAAGCUUUACACGCGUUAGACGAACGGUCUGGAAAGUCCGACGAUACAGGGUGAUAGUCCCGUAGUUGACGACGUGUGUUCAGUGAAAUCGAGUAGGGCGGGACACGUGAUAUCCUGUCUGAAUAUGGGGGGACCAUCCUCCAAGGCUAAAUACUACUGACUGACCGAUAGUGAACCAGUACCGUGAGGGAAAGGCGAAAAGAACCCCUGUGAGGGGAGUGAAAUAGAACCUGAAACCGUGUACGUACAAGCAGUAGGAGCAGGCUUUGUCCUGUGACUGCGUACCUUUUGUAUAAUGGGUCAGCGACUUAUAUUCAGUGGCAAGGUUAACCAUCUAGGGGAGCCGUAGGGAAACCGAGUCUUAACUGGGCGUUCAGUCUCUGGAUAUAGACCCGAAACCAGGUGAUCUAGCCAUGGGCAGGUUGAAGGUUGAGUAACAUCAACUGGAGGACCGAACCGACUAAUGUUGAAAAAUUAGCGGAUGACUUGUGGCUAGGGGUGAAAGGCCAAUCAAACCUGGAGAUAGCUGGUUCUCCCCGAAAGCUAUUUAGGUAGCGCCUCGGACGAAUACUACUGGGGGUAGAGCACUGUUAAGGCUAGGGGGUCAUCCCGACUUACCAACCCUUUGCAAACUCCGAAUACCAGUAAGUACUAUCCGGGAGACACACGGCGGGUGCUAACGUCCGUCGUGGAGAGGGAAACAACCCAGACCGCCAGCUAAGGUCCCAAAUUACUACUAAGUGGGAAACGAUGUGGGAAGGCUCAGACAGCCAGGAUGUUGGCUUAGAAGCAGCCAUCAUUUAAAGAAAGCGUAAUAGCUCACUGGUCGAGUCGGCCUGCGCGGAAGAUGUAACGGGGCUAAGUAGUAAACCGAAGCUGCGGCAAUGUGCUUUUGCACAUUGGGUAGGGGAGCGUUCUGUAAGCGGUUGAAGGUGUGUGGUAACGCAUGCUGGACGUAUCAGAAGUGCGAAUGCUGACAUGAGUAACGAUAAAGGGGGUGAAAAACCUCCUCGCCGGAAGACCAAGGGUUCCUGUCCAACGUUAAUCGGGGCAGGGUAAGUCGACCCCUAAGGCGAGGCCGAAAGGCGUAGUCGAUGGGAAACGGGUUAAUAUUCCCGUACUUCUUACAAUUGCGAUGGGGGGACGGAGAAGGCUAGGUGGGCCUGGCGACGGUUGUCCAGGUUCAAGUGCGUAGGCUUGAGAGUUAGGUAAAUCCGGCUCUUUUUAAGGCUGAGACACGACGUCGAGCACCUACGGGUGUGAAGUCAUUGAUGCCAUGCUUCCAGGAAAAGCCUCUAAGCUUCAGAUUGUAAGGAAUCGUACCCCAAACCGACACAGGUGGUCGGGUAGAGAAUACCAAGGCGCUUGAGAGAACUCGGGUGAAGGAACUAGGCAAAAUGGUACCGUAACUUCGGGAGAAGGUACGCUCUCGACGGUGAAGUCCCUCGCGGAUGGAGCUAUUGAGAGUCGCAGAUACCAGGUGGCUGCAACUGUUUAUUAAAAACACAGCACUGUGCAAAAUCGUAAGAUGACGUAUACGGUGUGACGCCUGCCCGGUGCCGGAAGGUUAAUUGAUGGGGUUAGACUUCGGUCGAAGCUCUUGAUCGAAGCCCCGGUAAACGGCGGCCGUAACUAUAACGGUCCUAAGGUAGCGAAAUUCCUUGUCGGUAAGUUCCGACCUGCACGAAUGGCGUAAUGAUGGCCACGCUGUCUCCACCCGAGACUCAGUGAAAUUGAAAUCGCUGUGAAGAUGCAGUGUACCCGCGGCUAGACGGAAAGACCCCGUGAACCUUUACUACAGCUUGGCACUGAACAUUGACCCUACAUGUGUAGGAUAGGUGGGAGGCUUUGAAGCACGUACGCCAGUAUGUGUGGAGCCGUCCUUGAAAUACCACCCUUGUAGUGUUGAUGUUCUAACGUCGACCCCUUAUCGGGGUUGCGGACAGUGCCUGGUGGGUAGUUUGACUGGGGCGGUCUCCUCCCAAAGAGUAACGGAGGAGCACGAAGGUGGGCUAAUCACGGUUGGACAUCGUGAGGUUAGUGCAAUGGCAUAAGCCCGCUUGACUGCGAGAAUGACAAUUCGAGCAGGUGCGAAAGCAGGUCAUAGUGAUCCGGUGGUUCUGAAUGGAAGGGCCAUCGCUCAACGGAUAAAAGGUACUCCGGGGAUAACAGGCUGAUACCGCCCAAGAGUUCAUAUCGACGGCGGUGUUUGGCACCUCGAUGUCGGCUCAUCACAUCCUGGGGCUGAAGUCGGUCCCAAGGGUAUGGCUGUUCGCCAUUUAAAGUGGUACGCGAGCUGGGUUUAGAACGUCGUGAGACAGUUCGGUCCCUAUCUGCCGUGGGCGUUGGAAGAUUGAAGGGGGCUGCUCCUAGUACGAGAGGACCGGAGUGGACGAACCUCUGGUGUUCGGGUUGUGUCGCCAGACGCAUUGCCCGGUAGCUAAGUUCGGAAUCGAUAACCGCUGAAAGCAUCUAAGCGGGAAGCGAGCCCUGAGAUGAGUCUUCCCUGAUACUUUAAGUAUCCUAAAGGGUUGUCGGAGACUACGACGUUGAUAGGUCAGGUGUGUAAGUGCUGUGAGGCAUUGAGCUAACUGAUACUAAUUGCCCGUGAGGCUUAACCAUACAACACCCAAGGGGUUU